UGAAGAGGGAAACAACCCAGACCGCCAGCUAAGGUCCCAAAGUCAUGGUUAAGUGGGAAACGAUGUGGGAAGGCCCAGACAGCCAGGAUGUUGGCUUAGAAGCAGCCAUCAUUUAAAGAAAGCGUAAUAGCUCACUGGUCGAGUCGGCCUGCGCGGAAGAUGUAACGGGGCUAAACCAUGCACCGAAGCUGCGGCAGCGACACUAUGUGUUGUUGGGUAGGGGAGCGUUCUGUAAGCCUGUGAAGGUGGCCUGUGAGGGUUGCUGGAGGUAUCAGAAGUGCGAAUGCUGACAUAAGUAACGAUAAAGCGGGUGAAAAGCCCGCUCGCCGGAAGACCAAGGGUUCCUGUCCAACGUUAAUCGGGGCAGGGUGAGUCGACCCCUAAGGCGAGGCCGAAAGGCGUAGUCGAUGGGAAACAGGUUAAUAUUCCUGUACUUGGUGUUACUGCGAAGGGGGGACGGAGAAGGCUAUGUUGGCCGGGCGACGGUUGUCCCGGUUUAAGCGUGUAGGCUGGUUUUCCAGGCAAAUCCGGAAAACCAAGGCUGAGGCGUGAUGACGAGGCACUACGGUGCUGAAGCGACAAAUGCCCUGCUUCCAGGAAAAGCCUCUAAGCAUCAGGUAACAUCAAAUCGUACCCCAAACCGACACAGGUGGUCAGGUAGAGAAUACCAAGGCGCUUGAGAGAACUCGGGUGAAGGAACUAGGCAAAAUGGUGCCGUAACUUCGGGAGAAGGCACGCUGAUAUGUAGGUGAAGCGACUUGCUCGUGGAGCUGAAAUCAGUCGAAGAUACCAGCUGGCUGCAACUGUUUAUUAAAAACACAGCACUGUGCAAACACGAAAGUGGACGUAUACGGUGUGACGCCUGCCCGGUGCCGGAAGGUUAAUUGAUGGGGUUAGCGGUAACGCGAAGCUCUUGAUCGAAGCCCCGGUAAACGGCGGCCGUAACUAUAACGGUCCUAAGGUAGCGAAAUUCCUUGUCGGGUAAGUUCCGACCUGCACGAAUGGCGUAAUGAUGGCCAGGCUGUCUCCACCCGAGACUCAGUGAAAUUGAACUCGCUGUGAAGAUGCAGUGUACCCGCGGCAAGACGGAAAGACCCCGUGAACCUUUACUAUAGCUUGACACUGAACAUUGAGCCUUGAUGUGUAGGAUAGGUGGGAGGCUUUGAAGUGUGGACGCCAGUCUGCAUGGAGCCGACCUUGAAAUACCACCCUUUAAUGUUUGAUGUUCUAACGUUGGCCCGUAAUCCGGGUUGCGGACAGUGUCUGGUGGGUAGUUUGACUGGGGCGGUCUCCUCCUAAAGAGUAACGGAGGAGCACGAAGGUUGGCUAAUCCUGGUCGGACAUCAGGAGGUUAGUGCAAUGGCAUAAGCCAGCUUGACUGCGAGCGUGACGGCGCGAGCAGGUGCGAAAGCAGGUCAUAGUGAUCCGGUGGUUCUGAAUGGAAGGGCCAUCGCUCAACGGAUAAAAGGUACUCCGGGGAUAACAGGCUGAUACCGCCCAAGAGUUCAUAUCGACGGCGGUGU
rnacentral:rRNA from 1 species